rnacentral:rRNA from 1 species
UGCAGCAACGCCGCGUGAGGGACGACGGCCUAAGGGUUGUAAACCUCUUUUAGCAAGGAAGAAGCGAAAGUGACGGUACUUGCAGAAAAAGCGCCGGCUAACUACGUGCCAGCAGCCGCGGUAAUACGUAGGGCGCAAGCGUUAUCCGGAAUUAUUGGGCGUAAAGAGCUCGUAGGCGGUUUGUCGCGUCUGCUGUGAAAACCCGAGGCUCAACCUCGGGCCUGCAGUGGGUACGGGCAGACUAGAGUGCGGUAGGGGAGAUUGGAAUUCCUGGUGUAGCGGUGGAAUGCGCAGAUAUCAGGAGGAACACCGAUGGCGAAGGCAGAUCUCUGGGCCGUAACUGACGCUGAGGAGCGAAAGGGUGGGGAGCAAACAGGCUUAGAUACCCUGGUAGUCCACCCCGUAAACGUUGGGAACUAGUUGUGGGGUCCAUUCCACGGAUUCCGUGACGCAGCUAACGCAUUAAGUUCCCCGCCUGGGGAGUACGGCCGCAAGGCUAAAACUCAAAGGAAUUGACGGGGACCCGCACAAGCGGCGGAGCAUGCGGAUUAAUUCGAUGCAACGCGAAGAACCUUACCAAGGCUUGACAUAUACGAGAACGCUGCAGAAAUGUAGAACUCUUUGGAC